GCGAAAAGAACCCCGGCGAGGGGAGUGAAAAAGAACCUGAAACCGUGUACGUACAAGCAGUGGGAGCACAGGUUUACCUGUGUGACUGCGUACCUUUUGUAUAAUGGGUCAGCGACUUAUAUUCUGUAGCAAGGUUAACCGAAUAGGGGAGCCGGAGGGAAACCGAGUCUUAAUUGGGCGUUAAGUUGCAGGGUAUAGACCCGAAACCCGGUGAUCUAGCCAUGGGCAGGUUGAAGGUUGGGUAACACUAACUGGAGGACCGAACCGACUAAUGUUGAAAAAUUAGCGGAUGACCUGUGGCUGGGGGUGAAAGGCCAAUCAAACCGGGAGAUAGCUGGUUCUCCCCGAAAGCUAUUUAGGUAGCGCCUCGUGAAUUCAUCUCCGGGGGUAGAGCACUGUUUCGGCUAGGGGGCCAUCCCGGCUUACCAACCCGAUGCAAACUGCGAAUACCGGAGAAUGUUAUCACGGGAGACACACGGCGGGUGCUAACGUCCGUCGUGAAGAGGGAAACAACCCAGACCGCCAGCUAAGGUCCCAAAGUCAUGGUUAAGUGGGAAACGAUGUGGGAAGGCCCAGACAGCCAGGAUGUUGGCUUAGAAGCAGCCAUCAUUUAAAGAAAGCGUAAUAGCUCACUGGUCGAGUCGGCCUGCGCGGAAGAUGUAACGGGGCUAAACCAUGCACCGAAGCUGCGGCAGCGACACUGUGUGUUGUUGGGUAGGGGAGCGUUCUGUAAGCCUGUGAAGGUGUGUCGUGAGGCAUGCUGGAGGUAUCAGAAGUGCGAAUGCUGACAUAAGUAACGAUAAAGCGGGUGAAAAGCCCGCUCGCCGGAAGACCAAGGGUUCCUGUCCAACGUUAAUCGGGGCAGGGUGAGUCGACCCCUAAGGCGAGGCCGAAAGGCGUAGUCGAUGGGAAACGGGUUAAUAUUCCCGUACUUGGUGUUACUGCGAAGGGGGGACGGAGAAGGCUAUGUUGGCCGGGCGACGGUUGUCCCGGUUUAAGCGUGUAGGUGUGUGUUCCAGGUAAAUCCGGUUCACUUUAACACUGAGGCGUGACGACGAGGCACUACGGUGCUGAAGCAACAAAUGCCCUGCUUCCAGGAAAAGCCUCUAAGCAUCAGGUAACAUCAAAUCGUACCCCAAACCGACACAGGUGGUCAGGUAGAGAAUACCAAGGCGCUUGAGAGAACUCGGGUGAAGGAACUAGGCAAAAUGGUGCCGUAACUUCGGGAGAAGGCACGCUGACACGUAGGUGAAGUGAUUUACUCAUGGAGCUGAAGUCAGUCGAAGAUACCAGCUGGCUGCAACUGUUUAUUAAAAACACAGCACUGUGCAAACACGAAAGUGGACGUAUACGGUGUGACGCCUGCCCGGUGCCGGAAGGUUAAUUGAUGGGGUCAGCGCAAGCGAAGCUCCUGAUCGAAGCCCCGGUAAACGGCGGCCGUAACUAUAACGGUCCUAAGGUAGCGAAAUUCCUUGUCGGGUAAGUUCCGACCUGCACGAAUGGCGUAAUGAUGGCCAGGCUGUCUCCACCCGAGACUCAGUGAAAUUGAACUCGCUGUGAAGAUGCAGUGUACCCGCGGCAAGACGGAAAGACCCCGUGAACCUUUACUAUAGCUUGACACUGAACAUUGAGCCUUGAUGUGUAGGAUAGGUGGGAGGCUUUGAAGUGUGGACGCCAGUCUGCAUGGAGCCGACCUUGAAAUACCACCCUUUAAUGUUUGAUGUUCUAACGUGGACCCGUUACCCGGGUUGCGGACAGUGUCUGGUGGGUAGUUUGACUGGGGCGGUCUCCUCCUAAAGAGUAACGGAGGAGCACGAAGGUUGGCUAAUCCUGGUCGGACAUCAGGAGGUUAGUGCAAUGGCAUAAGCCAGCUUGACUGCGAGCGUGACGGCGCGAGCAGGUGCGAAAGCAGGUCAUAGUGAUCCGGUGGUUCUGAAUGGAAGGGCCAUCGCUCAACGGAUAAAAGGUACUCCGGGGAUAACAGGCUGAUACCGCCCAAGAGUUCAUAUCGACGGCGGUGUUUGGCACCUCGAUGUCGGCUCAUCACAUCCUGGGGCUGAAGUAGGUCCCAAGGGUAUGGCUGUUCGCCAUUUAAAGUGGUACGCGAGCUGGGUUUAGAACGUCGUGAGACAGUUCGGUCCCUAUCUGCCGUGGGCGCUGGAGAACUGAGGGGGGCUGCUCCUAGUACGAGAGGACCGGAGUGGACGCAUCACUGGUGUUCGGGUUGUCAUGCCAAUGGCACUGCCCGGUAGCUAAAUGCGGAAGAGAUAAGUGCUGAAAGCAUCUAAGCACGAAACUUGCCCCGAG
rnacentral:rRNA from 1 species